rnacentral:rRNA from 1 species
GACGAACGCUGGCGGCGUGCUUAACACAUGCAAGUCGAACGGAAAGGCCCUGCUUUUGUGGGGUGCUCGAGUGGCGAACGGGUGAGUAACACGUGAGUAACCUGCCCUUGACUUUGGGAUAACUUCAGGAAACUGGGGCUAAUACCGGAUAGGAGCUCCUGCUGCAUGGUGGGGGUUGGAAAGUUUCGGCGGUUGGGGAUGGACUCGCGGCUUAUCAGCUUGUUGGUGGGGUAGUGGCUUACCAAGGCUUUGACGGGUAGCCGGCCUGAGAGGGUGACCGGCCACAUUGGGAAUGAGAUACAGCCCAAGCUCCUACGGGGGGCCACGGUCGGGAAUAAUGCACAACGGGACGAAGCCUGAAGCAGCAACGCCACGUGCGGGAUAACGGCCUUCGGGUUGUAAACCGCUUUCGCCUGUGACGAAGCGUGAGUGACGGUAAUGGGUAAAGAAGCACCGGCUAACUACGUG